UGCAGCCUGUCCUGGGAGAUUUUCUUGCCCAGCGAGAGGGGAGGAGAGAAGGGGCAGCAGCCACUGAGCCAACCCCUGCAGGGUGCUGGGAGCACUGGGGGCAGGGAGGACGGAAUGUUUCGGAAGCCAGAGUCGUCAUUUGCGGAGCUGGAGAAGA